rnacentral:rRNA from 1 species
UUCAAAGGGGACUAAGGCUAGGCUUGGGUAGGUCUUAGUGUUGGGCAAGAACGACUUGUGUUCUUUGUCAAAAGUGGGCUGUGAGCGGAUUGCGUUCAUAGCAAAGUGAGGGUCCUUUGUAUAUUUUCAAAAUGAAUAUAACUGUUGGGAAUUUUCCUGUAUUGGCUUUGUGUUCUUACUGAUUUUACGAUAUGCUGCCUCAAAUUUUUAUUAAGCCCAAACUUGUUGAAAUUUGGCUAAGUGUUAAGGAAGGCUGAGUCAAGUGCGGAAAUUGACUACCGUGCGGGUGUGACUUUGGGCUGACAAAAAAUGCCCCCGUUACACCUACCAUCAUGGUGACGGGUGACGGAGAAUUAGGGUUAGAUUCCGGAUAGGGAGCAUGAGAAAUGGCUACCACAUCCAAAGAAGGCAGCAGGGGAGGUAGUGAUAAUAAAUGAUAAUAUCGGGCUCUAUGUGUCAGGUAAUUGGAAUGAGUAAAAUCUAAAUCCCUUUUAUGGGGAUCCGUUGGAGGGCAAGUCUUGUGCCAUCAGCCACGGUAAUUCUAUCUACAAUAGCAUAUAUUUAAGUUGUUGCAAUUAAAAAGCUCGUAGUUAGACUUUGGGAUGGGCCAGUCGGUCCGCCUUAGGUAUGCACCAGUCGUCUCGUCUCUUCUAUCGGUGAUGUACUCCUGGCCUUAAUUGGCUGGGUCGUGCCUCCGGCAUUGUUACUUUGAAAAAAUUAGAGUUCUUAAAGCAAGCCUAUACUCUACACGUUAGCCUUCGGGAUCGGAGUAAUGAUUAACAGGAACAGGUAGGGGCAUUCAUUUUUCAUAGUCAGACGUGAAAUUCUUGGAUUUAUGAAAGAUGAACAACUGCGAAAGCAUUUGCCAAUGAUGUUUUCAUUAACAAAGAAUGAAUGUUUGGGGCUCAAAGACGAUCAAAUACCGUGCUAGUCUCCGCCAUAAAUGAUGUCGACCAGGGAUUGGCGGAUGUUGCUUUUAGGACUCCACUAGUACCUUAUGAGAAAUCAAAUUUCUUGGGUUCCGGGGGGAGUAUGGUCGCAAGGCUGAAACUUAAAGGAACUGACGGAAGGGAACCACCAGGAGUGGAGCAUGCGACUUGAUUUUACUCAACACGGGGAAACUUACCAGCUCCAGACAUAGUAAGGAUUGAUAGAUUGAGAUCUAUUUCUUGAUUCUAUGGGUGGUGGUACAUGGCCGUUCUUAGUUAGUGGAGCGAUUUUUCUGGUGAAUUCAAUUAACGAACGAGACCUCAGCAUGCUAACUAGCUAUGCGGAGGUAGCCCUUCGCAGCCAGCUUCUUAGAGGGACUACGACCUUUUAGGCCGUGGAAGUUUGCGACAACAACAGAUCUGUGAUACCCUUAGAUGUUCUGGGCCGCAGGCGCGCUGCACUGAUGUAUUCAACGAGUUUAUAGCCUUGGCCGACAGGCUCCGGUAAUCUUUGAAAUUUUAAUAUGAUGGGGAUAGUUCAUUGCAAUUGUUGGUCUUCAACGAGGAAUUCCUAGUAAGCGCGAGUCAUCAACAUGCGUUGACUAUGUCCCUGCCCUUUUUACACACUGCCCAUCUCUCCUACUAAUUGAAUGAUUCGGUGAAAUGUGCAGAUCGCAGCGACGUGAGCGGUUCGUUUCCCCCGAUGUCGUGAGAAGUCCAUUGAACCUUAUCAUUUAGAUGAAGGAUAAGUCAUAAUAAGGUUUCCGUAGGUGAACCUGCGGAAG